CUUAAAUUGGUGCUUCGCACGUAGCAGGAUCGACCUCAGCAAAUCGAUAUGAUUUCUGAUGGGAAUUAUGCUGAUGCUAACGAACGACUCAUGGGCCAUGAAAAGACUGCAAGGUUCCUAAGUAAAGAGGCCGCUUUACGCCACGUGGAAAGUGCUGCGAUCCGACCGACGUUUUGGCCAGGGGGGUGAUCCUGUGGUCCGACUGGAUAUACGCACUCCAACAAAAAUUGGCACGCAUUAAAAGGGGAGGAGGCCCUUGGGGGUGCCGGUGUGGGGAUGCAAAGAGAGUCCCCGGUAAACCACGUUCAGCUAUUUAUUUUGCUUUGUGGUGGUCCCUGCGUGAUUAUGGCUCCACUGUUCUCCUGCCAGAGCUGGGCUAUUAAAACCCAAGCUGUGGAGAGAGUGCUGGCAAUUAUGCUGUUCUGGACAAGGCGGUGACCUUAAUUACAUGCUCCGGGGGUUUCUCUCUACAACUGCACAUGCAGAGAUUGCAGGUGCGUAGAGCCUCAGCGACUCCUGUCUGCCCGGCCCAACCUUCUCACCCAGCACACAAACACAGAGCGACUGCUCCGACUGGCCAACUUAACCACAUUUAAAAGCACGGGGCCCAUUUUAGGUUUAUUAAGAGGCCCGCUGUCCUGUUUCAGGACAUUCUGAAAGCCGUUGUACUAUUUAGAGUAGCAGGUGGGCACGUGUGAACGCGUGUCGGCUGUCCUUGCUGCAACUCAGGACUUCAGUGUCAACAAAACGCAGAGAAGGGAAUUGUGGGAACUGGCAGGGUUCCCACACAGGGGUGCCCCUAGAGAUUUUGGGCCCGAUGAAAACAUACCGUAUGGGGCCCCCAACCCAGACUAAUCCAAUUAUGUAUCAAAUUUUUUGAGGCUCCUGUUGACCAGAGGCUUUGGAACCUUCCUAACCUUCCUCCUCUUUAUAGGUCCAUUUCCCACGCUUUGACUCAUGCUAAAGAAUGCGGACGGCAAAUAACCCUGAACACUUCCGCAGUUAGACUCUCGGUGAUGGUAUCUCUGGACCAAGAUGCACAGGUGAAAUGCACAUGGCGAGCUAUUCUGGACGGGGGCUGAGAGGGACCUUGCGUAGAAGUGUCCCCUGACCUGCAAUCGUCUCUUCCACCCACUGUAAGACACCCGGGUGGGCGGAGCCCCGGUGAAGCACGGAGGCGAUUGCCGAACUGCCUGACGGCGUCUGCGGGCAACCCGAGACGCGAAACUCUGCUGUCCCCGUUUACAAGGAUGUUAAAAGUCACACGGCUGGUUUUAAGAGACCCUGCGGGCUCGCGCAUCUCCUCGCACUUUGAAGGGAGUGCUGAGCUGAGCAAACGCAUCUCUACCCCCCACGGGGCGUGGGAGGGACAGGGGGACUGGGUUGGAGUCGGAGGAGGAGCCCCCAUUAGCCAGAGGGUCGCCUUGACAUGAGACCGUGUGGUGGGAUUCAGGCUGCUCACCAUUGCUCUGACACAUGUCACAGGGUGAAGGGCAGUUUCCACUCAGUGUUUACACUUCCUGGAGAUACUUUUGCCAGUGGAUUCAAUACUCAGUCCAUCCUUAUGUCUCCCCCCCCCCACAUGCACAGGUCUGUUUUAUGGAAUUUUCCCAUUUCCUGUUCAGGGUGUGUGCCCAUCGCUUCUUCACACAUGAAAAAAGGUUGUCUGUUAUGGAACGGGGGCAGGAAAAGAAACCAAACAGACAUGUGGAAAGAAAUGAAGAGUGCCCACGUCCUGAAAAACCACCGGGGGGAGAAAAGGAUUCUGGGAGAAAAAAAACAGAAGCAAGAGACACUAAUGCAGGGGAAAAGGCAGAUGAGCAGAAUAAGGGAAGAAGAGAAAAUGGCAGCUCGUUGUGUGUGUUUAGGGAAAGACUGCUUAUUUACUCAUUUGCUCAAACCUCAGUGUCAAUUAUGGAUACAGAAAUAAGUUUAAUCCCCUGUAACAAAACUUUGGCACCAAGGGUAGGUCUGCUGUGUUUAAACCCUGGGAAAUCACACACAGUCGUGGACCAUUUAUGAUCAGAGCUAAAUAUCGUCCCGUUUAGGGAGUGGGGAGCAGAGAAGGAAAGCUUCCCGGAGAGAGGCACCAUCUUGACCUUUCCAUUCACCCUCAGCAUUAUAACAUGUCAAGAAUCAUUUUCUCAUUUUUUUUCAGAGUCAUUUUUGCUU